AUCGACGCCUCUGUCUCCCCGAAGUGAGGGCGCUCGCUGCGGAGCUGGGGGUGGUCUCCUCUUCCCCCCAUCGCGGCCCAGCAACCUGGGGGUCCGCGUGACUUCUCCCUGGCCGGGGGAUGGAGGAUGCGCUCUCCUCUGUCCCUUCAAGGCCUCUUCCUCGUCCCAGGUCGAGUCUCCUCCUUGCUGACCAGGCAUCGCGAGCAGAUGAAUCCUCUGGGCGGUUGUCCCUGUCAGGCUGUCAGGACCUGAUUUUCCCUGGUAAGCCUUCGUCAGGCAGGUGGCCUCGCCCAGGCCUCGGAAAAUGUCAGGGCGCAAGCUGGGCACACGGCCCUCCCGCUGGCGAGCAGGCAGCGCGCGCGUUCUUUAGGAUUUGGAACAGCCCUGCCAAUUAGCUUGUACUCUGCCCACAUGCGCAGGACUAAAAAGGAAGCAGGCCAGGCCCGAGCAAAAUUAGACAAUGGGCUCCCAGAACACCAAGGGCGAAGGCGGCCC
rnacentral:lncRNA from 1 species